GUCCACGCCUAACGAUGUCAACUAGGUGUUGGUGGUAAACCAUUAGUACCGGAGCUAACGCGUGAAGUUGACCGCCUGGGAGUACGGCCGCAAGGUUAACUCAAGGAAUUGACGGGACCCGCACAAGCGGUGGAUGAUGUGGAUUAAUUCGAUGCAACGCGAAACCUUACCUACCCUUGACAUGUCCAGGAGCCUGAAGAGAUUUGGGUGUGCCCGAAAGGGACUGGAACACAGGUGCUGCAUGGCUGUCGU
rnacentral:rRNA from 1 species